rnacentral:rRNA from 1 species
GACGAACGCUGGCGGCGUGCUUAACACAUGCAAGUCGAACGGCAAGGCACUGCUUUCUUGCGGUGCUCGGGUGGCGAACGCGUGCGUAACACGUGAAUAACCUGAUCUUGUCUUUGGGAUAACUUCAGGAAACUGAACUUACUACCAGACAGGAUACCCUGUACCGUGGAGGGGGGUGGAACGUCUGGGCGGGUGGGGAUGGACUGGCGGGUUAUCAGCUUGUUGGUGGGGUAGUGGCUUACCAAGCAUGGGAAUGGUACCCGGCCUGUGAGGGUGACCGGCCACAAUGCGACUGAGAUACGGCGCAGAGUCCUACGGGAGGCAGCAGUGGGGAAUAUUGCACAAUGGGCGGACGCCGGAUGAGGCAACGCCGCGGUCGGGAUGACGGCCUUUUGGUUGUGAACAGCUUUCGCCUGUGACGAAGCGGGAGUGACGGUAAUGGGUAAAGAAGCACCGGCUAACUACGUG